CACCCACCCUUUCCUCGUCUUCUCCACACCUCUCGCAUUCUCAAAGAUGGCUACUCUCCUUAAAACGCCGCCGUUUAAGUCACCUUCUCCUCUAGCUCCACGUGUUACGACCUUCUCAUUGAACUCUUCAAAGCCCUUCCAUGUCUGCUUCAAACAAAGACUUCCUCGUCCAUGGCUACUUCAUUUCCUCUCUUCGGUUCGUGAAGUUGGUUCCUUUUGCUGCUGAAACUACUGAUACCCAACAAUAAGUUCAAGAACCCCAAAUUGAGGACUCCUCAGAUGGUGUUGUCACUGCUGAAGACGACGCCGUCGCAGAUUAGUGUAGUGAUGUCGAAGAAACAUCUUCAGCCAUUUCAUCUUUGCUCCGAUCAUACAAAGAAGCUUUGUCAAGUAAUGAUGAUUGAAAAUUUGUUGCCUGUUUUGGAUAAUUUUGAGAGAGCUAAAGCCGAAAUUAAGGUCGAGACAGAGAGAGAAGAGAAGAUCAAUAACAGCUAUGCAGGUGAAGUACCGAGUUGGCUUGUUAUUCAGUCAAGUACUUGAUGAACUUUCUCGGAAAUUUAGAGAAGUUUCUUCAGGUUUUGCCAAGACCUGGAUAUGCUUUUAAUACAAACCAAGUCUUGAUGGAUUCGAGCUGACUAAGCAGGUAAAUACAGAUAGAUGACAUGGAGAAAUCAGCAGGGAUUCCGGGAUUCAGUUUUGUACAAGCAACAUAUUUACCUCCAUUAUACUUGUUGGAUCAUGGGAGAUAGACGACCAACGACCUCAAGCAUUAAAGAAUGAUCGAAAAUCUGUUUUAAGGAAACCGUGUAGCUACAGGUCUCA